CAGUAGGGAGGAAGGUAGUGUAGUUAACACCUGCAUUAUUUGACGUUACCUACAGAAGAAGCACCGGCUAACUCCGUGCCAGCAGCCGCGGUAAUACGGAGGGUGCGAGCGUUAAUCGGAAUUACUGGGCGUAAAGCGCAUGCAGGCGGCCUGUUAAGUCAGAUGUGAAAGCCCGGGGCUUAACCUCGGAAUUGCAUUUGAAACUGGCAGGCUAGAGUCUUGUAGAGGGGGGUAGGAAUUUCAGGUGUAGCGGUGAAAUGCGUAGAGAUCUGAAGGAAUACCAGUGGCGAAGGCGGCCCCCUCGGACAAAGACUGACGCUCAGAUGCGAAAGCGUGGGGAGCAAACAGGAUUAGAUACCCUGGUAG
rnacentral:rRNA from 1 species